rnacentral:lncRNA from 1 species
UUCACCAUCCUCUCCUUGUAAAAACUUUUCUUUUAAUUCUCAAGUUGCCUUCUUUUGUCCAUACUUGAGUAUUUGCUUUUCUUGGACUUUAUUUUUUCACUAUUUUGGCUUUAUCCUUCUUGAAUGUUUUCUAGAUUCAUUUCUUCUAUCUCAUCUAGAUGUAAUGAAUGUAAUGAAAGUCUUAGUGAAUUCUAAGUCUCCCAUGUGUUUUUUAUUUCUUCUAUUAUUUGAGAUGAAAAAUCUUCAAUCUCCAUUUCAGCUAUCUUUUUUAAUAGUCG